UGGCUAGAUGAGGAAAAUUNCUCAUGGGC
rnacentral:piRNA from 1 species